ACGUACACUCCUACGGGAGGCAGCAGUGGGGAAUAUUGGACAAUGGGCGCAAGCCUGAUCCAGCCAUGCCGCGUGAGUGAUGAAGGCCCUAGGGUUGUAAAGCUCUUUCACCGGUGAAGAUAAUGACGGUAACCGGAGAAGAAGCCCCGGCUAACUUCGUGCCAGCAGCCGCGGUAAUACGAAGGGGGCUAGCGUUGUUCGGAUUUACUGGGCGUAAAGCGCACGUAGGCGGACUAUUAAGUCAGGGGUGAAAUCCCGGGGCUCAACCCCGGAACUGCCUUUGAUACUGGUAGUCUGGAGUUCGAGUGAGGUGAGUGGAAUUCCGAGUGUAGAGGUGAAAUUCGUAGAUAUUCGGAGGAACACCAGUGGCGAAGGCGGCUCACUGGCUCGAUACUGACGCUGAGGUGCGAAAGCGUGGGGAGCAAACAGGAUUAGAAACCCCUGUAGUCCCA
rnacentral:rRNA from 1 species